rnacentral:tRNA from 1 species
UUUUCUUUAGCUUACAAUUAAAGCAUUAGUUUGAAGCACUAAAGAUAACUUAUAGUUAAGAGGCG